AUUGAACGCUGGCGGCAUGCCUUACACAUGCAAGUCGAACGGCAGCACGGGUGCUUGCACCUGGUGGCGAGUGGCGAACGGGUGAGUAAUACAUCGGAACGUACCUUAUCGUGGGGGAUAACGCAGCGAAAGCUGUGCUAAUACCGCAUACGCCCUGAGGGGGAAAGCGGAGGAUCGAAAGACCUCGCGCGAUUAGAGCGGCCGAUGCCUGAUUAGCUUGUUGGUGGGGUAAAAGCCCACCAAGGCGACGAUCAGUAGCUGGUCUGAGAGGACGAUCAGCCACACGGGGACUGAGACACGGCCCAGACUCCUACGGGAGGCAGCAGUGGGGAAUUUUGGACAAUGGGGGCAACCCUGAUCCAGCAAUGCCGCGUGAGUGAAGGAGGCCUUCGGGUUGUAAAGCUCUUUUGUCAGGGAAGAAACACCGGCUCUAACACAGUCCGGGAAUGACGGUACCUGAAGAAUAAGCACCGGCUAACUACGUGCCAGCCGCCGCCGUAA
rnacentral:rRNA from 1 species